GAUUGAACGCUGGCGGUAUGCUUAACACAUGCAAGUCGAACGGAAACGAUACUAGCUUGCUAGUAGGCGUCGAGUGGCGGACGGGUGAGUAACGCGUAGGGAUCUGCCUGAUAGUGGGGGAUAGCCCGAAGAAAUUCGGAUUAAUACCGCAUAAUCUAUUCGUAGUAAAGUGGGGGACUUUCGAGCCUCACGCUAUCAGAUGAGCCUGCGUAAGAUUAGCUAGUUGGUAGGGUAAAAGCCUACCAAGGCAACGAUCUUUAGCUGGUCUGAGAGGAUGAUCAGCCACAUCGGGACUGAGACACGGCCCGAACUCCUACGGGAGGCAGCAGUGGGGAAUAUUGGACAAUGGGGGCAACCCUGAUCCAGCAAUACCGCGUGUGUGAAGAAGGCCUGAGGGUUGUAAAGCACUUUCAAUUGUGAAGAAAAGUUAACGGUUAAUAACCGUUAGCCUUGACGUUAACUUUAGAAGAAGCACCGGCUAACUCCGUGCCAGCAGCCGCGGUAAUACGGAGGGUGCAAGCGUUAAUCGGAAUUACUGGGCGUAAAGCGUGCGUAGGCGGUUUAUUAAGUCAGAUGUGAAAGCCCCGGGCUUAACCUGGGAACUGCAUUUGAAACUGGUCAACUAGAGUAUGGUAGAGGAAAGUGGAAUUUCUGGUGUAGCGGUGAAAUGCGUAGAUAUCAGAAGGAACAUCAAUGGCGAAGGCAGCUUUCUGGACCAAUACUGACGCUGAGGUACGAAAGCGUGGGUAGCAAACAGGAUUAGAUACCCUGGUAGUCCACGCCGUAAACGAUGAUAACUAGCCGUUGGGGGGAUUUACCCUUUAGUGGCGAAGCUAACGCGUUAAGUUAUCCGCCUGGGGAGUACGGCCGCAAGGUUAAAACUCAAAGGAAUUGACGGGGACCCGCACAAGCGGUGGAGCAUGUGGUUUAAUUCGAUGCAACGCGAAGAACCUUACCUGGUCUUGACAUCCUGCGAACUUUCUAGAAAUAGAUUGGUGCCUUCGGGAACGCAGUGACAGGUGCUGCAUGGCUGUCGUCAGCUCGUGUCGUGAGAUGUUGGGUUAAGUCCCGUAACGAGCGCAACCCCUAUCCUUAUUUGCCAGCACGUCAUGGUGGGAACUAUAAGGAGACUGCCGGUGAUAAACCGGAGGAAGGCGGGGACGACGUCAAGUCAUCAUGGCCCUUACGACCAGGGCUACACACGUGCUACAAUGGGAAGGACAAAGAGCCGCGAAGCCGCGAGGUGUAGCUAAUCUCAGAAACCUUUUCGUAGUCCGGAUUGGAGUCUGCAACUCGACUCCAUGAAGUCGGAAUCGCUAGUAAUCGUAGAUCAGAAUGCUACGGUGAAUACGUUCCCGGGUCUUGUACACACCGCCC
rnacentral:rRNA from 1 species